UCGUUAAUUAAUUAAUUAACUAAAUACAAGUUGGUCUAUGGAGGCCAAUAUCUGAUCCCUUCACAAUAACCAAAAUAUUAAAUUCAGUGCACAAAUUUAGAUACAUGCAGACAAAUAAGAUGCAGGUUAUUAUGGCCUACCUUGAACAUCAAAAUUUUUUUUUUUCAAUCCAAUCCCUCUUAGGAUAUAAACUCGUUAACGAAAAAAGAGCAUUAGAAAAAAUAAAAAGCUACAAUGUCGAUUUCCAUUUAGUGUACAAUUCUUUACUUUUGAAGACAGGACAUACAAAAUAAUUAGAUUGAAUUGUGUCUGAUUAUGAGAAGCAUUGAAAAUUGCAUAUAUUGAUAAUUUCUUAAACCUAUUUUUAUAAUAUUUAAAUCCUUGAAGCUUAAACUAGCAAGAGUCUAGCCAGAUCUUAUAUCAAUACUUCCAGCCCGUCAAUGAAAUAAGAUCCACAAAAGAUGGGACACGGGAGAAGGGAUGAAGUUUACUCACCUUCAAUAUCAAUACUUCCAUUCAAUUCAUUAGUACCCAAUGAUAAGUGUUUGAGUGAUGAAAGACCACCUAGAGAUGAAAAGAUGCUGUUGUUGAAGUGGUUAAGGGUUAAAUCAAGAAACUUCAAGUUCUUCAAACUUGAUAACCUAUCUAGACCUGUCAAAAAAUAAAAAGUAAAAAAUAAAAAAUAAAACAUAAUUUUAUUGUAUCACGUAUAAAUUAAACAAAAGUCAAAAGGGAUUAGAUAAAUGUAAGAAAUUACGAAGGAGAAUUAAAAUAGAGUAAAUUAAGGACCUUCAUUUUGAACACAACCGGUUAUAUUAUUCCCACUUAAAUCAAGAAACUCUAAUUGUUGAAAGGGAGUAAACAGAGAGGCAUUCAUAUACCACUCUGCUGAGUCCCGUUUUCGAAAUGCUAGAUCUAAUUUAAUCACUCUGCCAGUGGUGUUGUUGCACUCAACCCCUUCCCACUGACAACAAUCUGAAUAAUUCUCACCAUCAUUCCAGUAGUGAAGAUGUUUACUAUCAUUGAAGAAAUGUUUAAGUUGGAGGAGAGCAGACCUCUCUUGCUCCAAACAUCCCUCACUCCACCACCCUUUAACUGCUAAUAAUAUGAAAAUUAACUCACUCACCCACACCCUUUUUGAACCACACAUUAUAUCUUCUUAAUUAUAAUCACCUACACACACUCUUUCUGUCACUCUUUGCUUCAGUUCUGCAACAACGAGAGGAUGGCUGUAUGCUAUUUAUAACCAAUUGAACUGAUGAUACUCCCAGCUUUUAAUUGACUUCUCUAAGUCUUGCAUGCGUUUUUCUUCAUUUCUUUUUAUUUUUACUGUUAAUAUGUAAUAUGAUUAUAAUAUAUUUUAUUUAAUUCAGUCAACUGAAAAUAUUUCCUCUCCGUCCAUACUCCAUAUGGGAUGUCAUAAAUAUCUGCACAGCCUGGAUUCUGACGGAACCUUGGGCAACGCGGGUAAUACCGAUUGUAUUUGUCAUAUCAACAUCAUUCGUUGUCACGAAGAAGGUGAAGAGUCUUCUUUCUUUCUUCGAAGUUCAUGAAAGGAAAUCAUGUUUUACACGUUAGUUGACUUUGAAUUGACCCCAAAUCGCGAAACAUUGGCCCUCAAUCCUCUCUCUCUCUCUCUCUCUCUAAUUACUAAAUAAGUGAAAUUAUUAUUGAAAAUUUUAAGCUACAAACCAGCAAUUUUACAUUAAAAAAAAUCGAUAAUCAAAUCUUUAUCCACUGUUGUAGCUUUCGACAGCUUUGCAAAAUAACUGUAAGCCAAUAUAUUUCAAUUAAAAGUCACGUUGCUUUUAACAACCUUUGGCAACCAGAUACAUUGAUGGGUCGAAUAUACAAUAUUGGUGACAUUACAUUAGUAAUAUUACUCAACUAUUAACCUUUUUAAAACGACACAGUAAAAGACCACCGAAAAGGUUAUAUUUUUCGGCGUUUUUUUGUUUUACGAUGGGACAAUUCGUACUCUAAAAACUAAUCAGAACACUCAUAAUCUAAUAAAAUUUAUUUUACGCUGAUAAAUUAUUCGUUAUGCAAUUUACCGUUAUAGACAAGUAGACUUAAUAGAUUUAAUAUCUUUUUACGUAUGUUCUUUGCUCAAAAUAGAAAAUCUGAUUCCAUCUCCCUUAAUUUUUUUUCUUUUUACUUUUUCUAACAUUUUCUCCUCCUCGAUUUCACAGGUAAAUAUUUAUGCUAACAAACUGUUAUUGAAAAAAAAAAGACAAACAAAUAGAUAAUUGGGUUGCUGUUUAUCUUAAAAGAACAAAUAUCAAGAAUGUCCAAAGUAUUAUUUAUAUUUAAGCAUAAAUUUUAUUUUAUUUAACUUAAAAAAAUUGGGGAUAAUGACUUGGUUACAAUCUUUAGAAUUAGAUAGAACCUCCCUCAAGUCUCGGCUCCAAAAACUUAUUCUUGUAUGUAAUAACGUUAUGUAUUUGUCACGUUAACAUAAUUGGAGUCACUGUCCGGAAAGAGACGAGAGGCACUCUCUUUCAUGGAAAUUCAUGAACACGUGAAAGCAAAUCAAACCAUUUUAGGGUGCGUGGAAGUUAGGCAUGGAAUAUUUGUAAUUGACUUUGAGUCAACAAAUGCCCCCUUUUCUCUCUUAUUUCUAUGAUUACUUAAAUAAAUUAUUUUAUAUUAAAAAAAAAACAACAGUGAAAAUUGAAAGCAAGAAAAAUUUUAGUAAACGACAUACUUAACUGAAAUGCCAGCAAUCAAAUGCAAAGAAGACCUGCUUAGUCUUUUCAAGAGCUAUUGAAUGCAACUUUAUCAAUUCAAAGUUAUGGAUAUAAUGAAAAAGCGAAUAUUGCUUUCAACAAGCAGUCUAACAUAUUUUUUAAUGUAGGCAAUCUCACAUAAUCUGUUAAGAGAACUCCACUGAAGAGUAGAGUAAUGUUAUGAUUUCUGACAGUUAAGUCUUAAUUUAUGUGUGUUAUUAAUCUAUUAGAUAUUAGAUUUCAUGACUAUUAGAAUUAAUAUUUUACUGCUCAAUAGAUGAUUACUAUACUAAUUGGGACCAAAUUAAGAGUUGAUUGUUAGGAUCCCAAAUACUACUGUGCAAAGUAAUAUAUAUGAUUACUAUACUAAUUGGGACCAAAUUAAUUUAUGUGUGUUAUUAAUCUAUUAGAUAUUAGAUUUCAUGACUAUUAGAAUUAAUAUUUUACUGCUCAAUAGAUGAUUACUAUACUAAUUGGGACCAAAUUAAGAGUUGAUUGUUAGGAUCCCAAAUACUACUGUGCAAAGUAAUAUAUUGGGCAUAAGCAAGUCAUUGAAGCGAGCGAAAAAUUCAACCCAUUUACAAACCAUCAAAUUUCUUUUCACAACACAAGCAUUUUUGUCAUCGGCAAUUCAAACAACCAUUCCGUCCCUUUCUCUGCUCAAUACCUUCCUUAAAUUGUUCAUAAUCUUAACCUUUGAUUUAAGUUGUUUCUUCUUAAUUGUUCGUAGCCUUAACAUUUGUUUAAGCACAUGUUUCCUAGUAAUUUCUUAUUUUAACAUGCUUUCAUCUUUUGAUAACUAGUCAGGGCAAUUUAAUAAUACUAUUACUUUUAAAAUAAUUAAUGUUAGUCGAGAUGUAAAAAUAAUUAGCCGUGUGAAGAUAAAUUGUUAAGUUUUUAUUUAUUUAUUUAUGCAAUGUUAGAUAUUCCAACAUUUAAGUCCUAAUUUAGUCCCAACAAAUAUAACAUUUAUCAAGUGGUUAAAUACUUUUACAAACUAUGAAAUCUAUUAUUUAAUAAAUCAGUGAUACAUAAUAUUAAGAUUCAAAUAUCAAGAUUUCUAACAUCAUUAUUAUUAAAUCUUAUUCUCUGAAUUAAUCUUGGAAAACUAUUCCAUUUUUCUUUUUCAAAAGAUGCAAUAGCGUGUGUAGCGGUUUGAAUUAAUUGUGCAAACUACUUUUCAAUGAAAUAAACAAAAAUGGGCCCUCGAUUUGGUUGCAAUACCGUGUGUAGCGGUUUGAAUUAAUUGCAAACACUCUUUUGUACUUGGCAAUGGUCUCUUGGCCCACUGUCACACCCUACGCUCUCAAACUAGCGUGUAUGAGUUCUGAAUCCUGACUAUUGAAAGGACUUAAUUCUCGUUCCAGUUAAAUUGGAUAGAAGUAAAAAUGUCUCUUCGUUAAUAGUGGAAAAGAAUAUAUAUCUCUCUUUGAUAUUAUAUGAGAAUAGGAAUUUGGGUUGUACUAGUUUAGAAUUAUCAAAGAUAGUCAGAUAAAAUUCUGAUUGUAAAUAUUAAUAGAAUCUUGAUUGUUAUAUAUCAAUGUAACAAAAAAAAAAAAAAAACUCAUAGUCCUUAUGAUUACCUGUUUCCAUAAGCCACCAAUAUCUCACCGUUGCUUUCAUUUACAAAUAAUCUAACGACCGUUUAAGAUACAAAAUUUGUAGCCCUCAAUCUCUAUUUCUUACUUUUGUUUUGUAGCCCUCGUUCUCUAUUUCUUACUUUUGUUGUUUUUCCUUUUUGAAAAAAAAUUAAAAUUAUGUUAUAACCAUUUCGUAAAUUAUUGUUUUAUUUUUCAAAAUUACAUUGCAAUCUAUUUAUAAAAUCAGGUAUUACCCUACUUUUAGUUUUAAUGCAAGUUUUGUUUAUUAUUAAAAAAGAUACAGCAUAAAAUUAUUGGAAACAACUGAAUUUAACCAUUCAAUUUUGAUCGCAUGCAUGGCAUAUAACUAAAUUGGGCCGCUUCUGCUCACCUCUUACCCGAUUUUAUAUGCUCAAAUUGAUCAGUCGAAUCCAAAUGGGGGGAUCUGAUAUUUUGGGUUGUGGUGGAACUGACGGAGCCACAUAUUUGGAUACUGACCUAGAGAUUUCUUUGAAUAAUUUUAUAGUGUUGCUCAAGUGAUAUUGCGUGAGGCUUGCGGGUGAAUCAAACACAUCAGCUCUAAACGGCAGCGUUUUGGCAUUAUAAGAUAAGAGCACUUAAAAGUCACGGGCUGAAGCACGUGUGUAAUCACUUGUUUCUUAAGAUUGAAACGGCAGUUCUUCUUUGUCGUUUAAGGGAAAGCUUUAAGUGAUGCACGUGAUAGCCGUGCGUGGCAACUUGAUUCAGUUCGUUAAGUUUGUUGCUCAACGUGUCAACAAGCUGUGCAAUCUGGAUUUAGCUGAUUCGUUGCUCUUGUAGUUCAGUUUGUGAGCUGAGCGUGUGUGUAACCGUGUUAAGAGAGAGAGAUAUCAGAGAAUGUGAAAGAUGAGUUCUCUGUAAUCUUAAGUAAAAGCCCUGUAAAAGAUCCUCCAUUGUUAUUCAAUAAAAGCUCUUCAGAAAGCAUCUCCCGUGGAUGUAGGUUGUACCUCCUUGGUGCAACCGAACCACGUAAUUGAUUCUUGUGUUGUCUGUGUUUGUUUCUAUUCUUUUCAGUUCUCUUAAUUCUUGUGUUAAAUUGAUUCUUUCUGGAUUCGUUCUUCAAUCUGUGCAACUUGGUAAAUCUAUAUCUGAGAUCCUGGGAAGUGAUUGUGUCUUGCAUAGUUACGAGCAGAUUCAUUCACUACGUAUUGUUUCAUUUUUUCCAAAAUCAAAACCACGUUGAUUUGAUUUUGAACUUUUUCUGGUGAAUAGUUUCUUCACCUUGCAGCCUUAUCAGGUCGUUAAUUAUUUCAUUCUUCACCGCAUAGCGAGACCAUCCAGUGAUUUAAUCAUGCAGCUAGUGAAUGUGAGUUUCUGCAGAUGCAUUAGUAGGUUUUUGCUUGUAUUUAGGCCCUCUACUCUCAUAGGGAAAGGCAAUUGCAUUGUACACACUAAUUUGGUUGCAUGGAAUUGAUAUUUUUUCUUAAUUAUCUGGAUCCAUCUGUUUGCCCUGUUCGGUCCAAAAUAUCAAAUAUUUAUAAAUUCAACCAUGCCAUCAUCUAAUUCCUUUGAACUUAUAACUGUUUCACAAGUUACUUAUGCUACUCUUAAUAUUUUGAGAUUGAAGACAUGUUCAUAUUUGAUUUCCUUCAUUCAGUUGCGUACUGCCUUUGGCUGCAGAAUUUGCAAUCUGACCAUCUAAUUAUGAUAAAAUUAACUGGCAUUUUUUGCAGGCGUAUCUUUCUCGACCACUAAAGAGAUGUUAGCUGAUGCUUUUUCACAAUUUGGCCAAGUCACUGAGGGUUUGGUCUAUUUCUGUUUUAAGUCUCAACCCCUCUUCCCUCUUCACUAUUUUGUAAUAUCCGAUUCUUUUCUUUUUGCAGCUACAAUAAUAAUGGAUAAAGGUAAGAAUAGAUCAAAAGGUUACGGGUAUGUGACUUUCAGUACAGAAGAGGAAGCCCAAAAAGCCUUGGCAGACAUGAAUGGGAAGGUAAAAUUGCAUCAUUUUUCUCUAAUUUACCAUGCUUAUAUUGUUGAGUUAAAGCAUCUCACAGUAUGUACUUGCAGUUACUAGAUGGACGAGUUAUUUUUGUGGAUAAUGUAAGACCCAGCAGACGUUACAAUACUGAUGCGCCCCUUGCAAGACAACUUCCUCAGUCUCCUGAAGAAAAUUGAUAUUAAAUUUGUCGAAAGUUGGAGAUUAUAGCCUAAUUUUCUGUACAUAUAUUUAGUCUUUCCUAGUAUAGCUUAUUUUUCUAAUUUCAUAUAGCUUCCUUAUAUAGCCUAGUCAGACUAGUAUAUAAUGUAAAGAUUGCAACUUCUAUGAAAAAAAAAUAUCUUCCCAAUAUUUUUUCUCAAAAUUGUUUUACAUUUCAUAUUAAUAUAUUGCAACAAUUCUGUUGUUCUUUUAUGAUUACCUUCUUGUUGACAUGGGAUAUCUCUGUUUAUCGUUUGGGUAACUGCUAUGAGGAAGGAGCAAAGAUCUGGGAGAUUGCGCUGGAUCUGCGGCUACCUUGCAAUUUUCAAGUUAUGAUAAUAUGAACGGGAAAAUGGGAGACUCUUGGUUUUGGAUUUUAGAUGAUAUAAUUGCCAUUAGAUUGAUAUCAUAUGCGCCCUUGUGUAAAUAUGACCUAAGUUGAUUUGAAGUGCUCAUAAGCUGGAAGAAACAUCGUUGGUACCUUGGCGCAUAGUGGUUUUAUUCCAUCUGAAAAUUUUCCCAGAUGCAUCAAACCCGAAAAACUGCGGUUUCGGAUACAAGUUCAUAGAAGAAAUGUACAUUCUGUUGAUUGGCUCAAAAGAAAAUUACUCUUCUCAAAGUGUGUGCGCGUGCAUAUAUAUAAUGCAUUACGAGACUAAAUACAAGCCCGUGGACACACAUCUUUUAUUGUAAGAAAUUCCGCUCAUAGAUCGUCUGCUGCGAUAAACAAAAAAAUAAUUCGUCUUGUUUCGAUAAUUCAGACACUUCUCUUGGCUUAGUGCCUCUAUCCGCUGUAAUCACCAAGUUCAGAAAUCACAUAAGCAUUAUUCUCUGCCCAAAAAAAAAAAAAAAGGCCAGCUGUAACAUCAGGAUGAAAAAUUGUUAAGGAAGCUCAUCAUGCUUGCUGUACAGUAAGCAAAACAGAAGAUAAAGCAGAGGAUUGCGGCAGCUAUAGCACACAGUUAAAGGUUGAUGACUUGGCUGUCCAGCUGGCACCUGAUGGUUAUGUGAUUACCAGUACACGUGAAGAUUUAGUUUGAUUAGUUAUAUUUAGUAAAUUGCUAAAGUAGUAGUUAGUUAUACAAUUAAGCUGUUAUCUUCAGCUGUGUACAUAAACAACAAUGUAUUCACAUUUUGAGUAUUCGGAACAAAUUGAAAGAUGUUCUAGAAUCCUCUUAGCUUCAAUUUUAUUCUCUCAACUUUCUUCCAUUUUCUCGUUUGCCAAACACUCAAUAAAACAAUUUUAACUAAAAUGAAUCUCAACAAAUGUUUUUCGCAUAUUAGAUUUUCUAUUUUUGGCACAACAAGCUAUAGGCAUCUUCCUAGGAUCAAUUGUUGAAAACUAUCCUUUGUGUCACUGAGCUAAACCAUAACACAUUCGUAGUUGUCAUUUGCCAACUUCUCCUGGGAGACUUCCACCUCGGUUAUGAGAGAAAAUCUUCUCUGAAAAAGUUACACAGGACUGGUGCAGCAUCGUGCUUCCGCAUCAAGCUUUUUUUACCUUACGGGAUGGGGGUCUUCGAAACAAACUGAUUAGAUCAUCAAGACCCUGUUGGAAAACUUGGAACUUUUGAAGUUUCUAUUCUAAUCUGUUUGCAAUGAAAUUAUAAAACAUCAAAUAAAAGAUAAAACUGAAAUUUAGAACUUCAAGCUUGAUAUGGAGAAAGAGUAAUACCCAAGUUGUUAUGACAAGAAAGCUGAAAAGCACAAUUAAAUACGAUCCCAACACUAGAAGCAACAGCAAGUCGAAUGUUACACUAGCAACCUGUAAAAAAAAUCUGCAGUAAUGAGCUUCAAGCAAAUGAAGGAAAAAGAUCAAAACUUUAUACAUAAAAAGCUAAUGAAGGACUCUGAAGUACGUAGAAGGCUUGAGACGAGCCGUCUAGCGUUCAAUGGAGAGAGAGAUUACACGUCUAAACAAUAUUAGUUUCUAGAAGGUAAAAACAAGCAGGCACCUGAUAUAUGUUGAGGCUAGCUUUAGUUGUAUCAUAGAAAGUAAACAUCCCGUCAAGCACCUCAUGUUGCACACUCACCUCGUCGGUAUGAUCGGCCAGUUCCUGCAAUCAAACAUACAGAAUAAGGUUAUACAAAGUAACAGGCUUGGGCUUUCUCACCGAAGCGGGGUUGUUAGUGGAGAUUCUGAGUCCAAUUUUACAAACUUAAGAUCGAGUUAUUCAGUCUUAAAGUCUGUUUGGUAUAGCUUCUUUAAGUAGAUUCUACACUAGUAGAGCUUUUAACAAAAUGUUGUUGGUUGUUUAGUUGUCCAUAUAACAUCUUUUAGCAAACAAUAACAUCAAGUUAUUUUUGACAAUUCAACCUUUCAAAAAAGCCCAAAAAAUCUCCUAAAAGCUUCCUACAGAGAACAGGAAACAUCAUUUUUAAUCUUCCACAAGCUCUUCCUUAGUUAAACCAAACAAGAAAAACAGUUUGAAACAGUUUUAACAUCUAAAAAAGCUCUUUGGUCCCAUAAAGAAACCAUCUGUGUAUAUCUUGGUCCUUGUAAUUAUCUUUAGGCUUUGCAAAUAUCUUCUAACACUGUUUGAAAUGGAAGAGUUCUCUUUGGAUUACAUUGAUUCUUUGAAUAGGAAAGAUCUAAACGAUAACUUUUUAAACAAAAACUAUUAAUUAAUGGCUUUCUUUAUCAGGCUGUGAUUCUUCGUUUUCGUGGCUUAAUAUGUAAAAUGUAACUAACAUAGGUACAUGGAAGGCUACAGGAACUAGAUGGUUGACUAUGCUAUUCACCCAGUCAUUGGUUGAAGGUGCAGUAGAUACCUAAUCUUAAUUAAUGUUGAAUUUACUUAUAAAUGUUCGUUUGCAAGACUUAUUUGUGUUUUUACCAGGAUAGUGAAGGCUAAAAUAGGAGUAUAUGGGAUGUUGUUAGCAAUUGCUUAUUAAGGUCUGUAUUAUCAUGAGUUGUCUUUUCUAAUUAGUUCUUGAUUUGACACUAAAGAAGUCUUGGACUAGUUAAUUAGUAAAAUGCGAUGUAAUAAUAAUAUAGUCUGUAUAUUUUCUCUACCCAAAUAGUAACGUAGUCUUUUUAUUAUAGUUCUGUAGGUGUGGGCAAUGAAGAAAGGUUAGAAAAGUUGCCUAACGGUGGUUGAAAGGGAGCAAAAACGUGGUUACUAGCUAGGUCGAUUUGUUGUCCCCCGGGGGGGUGGGGUGGGGUUUGGCAGAAUAACAUGUUGGCAACCUAUAGAUUGCUAUUUUACCUUCAAAAAAGAUCAAAUAGAUGAUGCUGGAAAGUUCCAAGUCAAAACAAGGAAAAGGGAAAAAGAAAUUUCAAUGGAGGUCCAAAGCAAUAGAUAUUCUCAUGGCAGGAGAUCUAGUAAGUCACCUAUCUGGACCACAAGCCUCCUUCUUCCUUCAAGAUUGUAAGGUUCAGUUGGGGGCCCCUAGUUUCUGACUCAAGUUCGUUAAUUGGGUUCGAAGGUAUCUGGAUUAAUCCUACUAACAUAUCUUCUGAUGUGUCAUAGUUGUAAAACAGUUGUAUGCUCUUUCAUUUAGAAUGGCUGUAUCAUACUCUUAUUGGUGCCUAGUAUUUGUGAGUUCAUAAGAGUGAUUUUUACUAUUGUAUAUUGUUAGCAGUUCGUAAUAUAUACACUUUAAUUUUUCCUCCUAGUUAAGUGUAUUAUGUGCUUUUCAUUUGCAAAAUUUGUACGAAACUUUUAUUGUGUAACUCUCAAUAUCAAUAAAGUAGGACUAUUGCCUGAUGCUUGGAAUUUCUAAGAUGAGGGUUUUUAUGAUUUUGUCAAAUUUCCGAUGAUCCAAAACGGACCUAAAUAGCUUUCAAUGGGUGUUUGCUUGACAGAAGCUUUAACAUGAUAGGUGAAGGCUCUUUUAGUUGUUAACUAAUCAUUGUACUUCCUAAGCAAGUUUGAUUUAUUGCUCUCUGGGCAAAUUUGUUGUAGGUGUAAUAAUUUCGGUCCUCAUUUUUUUUCUUUUAUAUUUUUCUAAGAGAUCCAUUUAAGCAUAUUAAUCGCAAAAAAUCAAGUGACGUACGUAAAUGAAUGGUAAAUAAUAGUGAAAAAUAGAACAAAAAUUGUACAUCUUUCGUUCAUAUAUGUAUUCUUAAUUAAUGUAAUAAAAGGUUAGGUUUAUAAAAUUACUUAAUUUAAUUUGAGAGACAAAAAGUGGUGUAACAUACGUAUAUUAUAAUACAUUCACUAACUUUAGGGAUCCUAAUUAUUGUACUAAUAUUCAACUGUAAUUGUCACAUUAUAUUAGUCAUUGAUGUUUACUAAGUUUUUCUUGAAUAAUAAUCUCAUCAUUUCAUGAUAAACAUUAAUAAUUAAGUUAAUGUUGCAGUUACCGAUGAGUUAUUAUAUUAGUUAUGAUUGAAACAUUGAGAUAAUAAUUGGGAUUUCUAACAUUAUUCUAACACAUUAAUAUUGAUAAAUUUAAAAAAUAAAAGGGGUUAAUAGUGUAUGGGUAAAAUAUGAUUAUAAUAAAUCUAAUUUUGGGGUCUAAAUGACAUAAAGGAAAACAAAAAAAGUAGAGAAAUUGAAAGAAAUAAAUGCUAUUUCCCAGAUGUUUGAAAGACGUUAAAGCAAGAUCAAUCUCGAGUCUCAGUCCAAACUGUUCACCUCACCUUGUUUGGCUGUUCAACUCUUUCACGCUCUCUCGGCUAUCUUAUCAAACACUUUAUUUACAAAAGAGAGAGCUCACAGAAAGACCAUGGGGCUUCUGCUUGGGGCAGAGCCCAAAAGGACUAUGAAAAAUGUCGCAGAACGGAAAAUUGAUGCCUAAUCUGGACCAGCAGAGCACAAAACUCCUAAACUUGACAGUUCUUCAGCGAAUCGAUCCAUUCAUUGAGGAGAUCCUCAUCACGGCUGCUCAUGUCACCUUCUACGAGUUCAACAUCGACCUCAGCCAAUGGAGUCGUAAGGAUGUUGAAGGAUCUCUGUUCGUCGUCAAAAGGUCAAUAAAAUUAGAUUCUUUUCUCUCUUAUGCUUUCCAUUUCUUCAUUUGAUAUUCGUUGUUUUGGAGAUUGUAUUACAUAUGAAGUUUGUGAAAUUAUUAUUUUUUCAAUUUUCAGGAACACACAGCCUCGAUUUCAGUUUGUUGUGAUGAAUCGACGUAAUACAUGUUGGUUUAUCGUUGCUUCUAUUUUAGUUUUGAUUAUUUGUACGUGAACUAGUUUUAAUUUCAGUGAUGAAUCACUUUAUCACAGUUCUAGCUAAUAAUUGAGGUUUUAGAACGAAGAAUAGAAUGUACCUAACCGAAAAUAUUUAUAUGCCAAUAUUACAGAGGCUAAAGUAUUUGCAAUGUUGUUGUUUAGCGUUAAAUAUUGGUCGUUUUAUGACCAUCAGGAGAGGGGGUUGGUACAAUUAUUUAGAUACCGUGAGUCUAUCUUGUCUACAACUUGUGUUAUAUUUCAUGUCUUGUUGUGCUUAUCAGUUGUUGCUAAGUUUUAGUUAUAUCUCCUAACCUUCAUGUCUUUUUGCAUAUGUUUUUGCACUGAUAAGCUUUAAUAUCUUGGAUAUGUGCAGAUAAUUUAGUGGAAAAUCUUUUGGGAGAUUUUGAGUUUGAAGUUCAGGUUCCGUAUUUGUUAUAUCGAAAUGCAUCCCAAGAAGUAAAUGGGAUUUGGUUCUACAAUGCUCGUGAAUGUGAAGAGGUAGCAAAUCUUUUUAGCAGGUAUUGUUGUUUUACUGGUUUUACUAGUGUAGUAGUUUAAGUGUAUAUUAUUAUGUUUUACAUGCUAAUAAUUGACACAUAGAGAAUAGUUUAGAAUCUUAACCAAACUUGGAAAUGUGUUUCAAAUAAUAGAGUAUGGUUAUUACAUGUUGCUUCUGCCGAGGCCUCGUGAACCUGGUUUUAGUUAUUGUUUUCCUGAAUUUUAUAUUGGAAUUAUUAUUCUUGGAAUCUGGCUUGUACAGAUUUCUUUUUUGCCUUGUGUGGCAUCUUUGAAGUUUGGUUAAUAAAACUUGUUUAAUGCUAUUAUAUUCUCCUCCUUGCAUGCUUUUUAUUUUGAGAUGUGCAGUGCCAAGUGCAAAGGAGUUAUUUUUGUAUAGAAACUGACUAUUUUAUACUAGAGUCGUUCUGUGCCCCUUAAGAUUGGAAAAAGAACGGGUUGCGUUUCCUUUACAUUUAGGAGAUAGGAGAACAAAACAACCUGGGGAGUUGGUAACGAAGCCUUCAAUUUUUUUUCAUCAUGCAAGGGUGGACCAAAGAUUCUAUAGAUGAUAUCUGGAGUCCUCGGUGUUCUCAUAUUAGGUUUUUAUGGUUUCAUUGUUCUUCAGAUUCGUCUGAAAAUGUGCAUCUCAUAAAGACAUGAUUGUUUUAUUUGUUGACUUGCAUGUGGUAAAAGUCAAUUUUCUUGCCGUAAAAAAUAGAACGCAAGAAGAUUCUUUGAGGUUCUAUAUUUGUAAAUUUUUCAAUUUGGUAUGGACUAUAGGUUGUACAGUCAAUGAGAAUUUAAAUUGGUUUUUUAGGAGUGGGGGCUGAGGUGGUGUGGGAAGAAAUCUUUAUAUUGUAUUAGUCUAUGGGAGCAACAAGUUCAGAAGUAUGGUUAGAAUGUGGAAUUUUUUCAAGCAAGUGCAAGCUCCCAGAAUUUUAAAGAAACGAGUGAAUGGCAAGAGAGAAUAGAGAGAAAAUUUCAGAGAAGAAGAAGAAACUGAGUCCAGAAUUUUAUAUAUAUAUCCCAUCAAAUACAACCAUGGAAAUACUUAUAGCAGCAAGAAUAUGCUCACAGCUGUCAAAACUAAAUAACAACCUCUCUCUAUAACAAAGAAUUAUUCUCUAAAUAGCUAAAGCCGUUAGAAACCGAAUCCUCUGCUCAUAUAUGCUCAGUGUGUGUAAUCCUUGAACCAUUUGGGUGGCUUCCUUACGCGACUUGGCUUGAUGAUAUCUUGGGGUCGGUUUUGGAUAGCCUCACUUGAGUUUGCCUGGGCCUUUUCCUCGCUAUUGAUAGAGCUAGCUGAGUUGGGCUUGUCUAACUGUAAUAUUGGGGUUGUAUCACCCUCCACUCCUUGAGGAAUCACCUUGUCCUCAAGGUGAAAAUUCGGGUACUGCUUAGUGAAUUCGGAAAGAGCUUCCCAUGUUGCAUUCUCAGGAGCACAAUCCUGCCACUGCACUAAAAUUUGGGAUUGUAGGAUGCCAUGAACCAACACUUGACGUUGAACACAAAUAGCAAUGGGAACAGACAUAGGCUGGUUAUUGUAAGACUCGCUAGGUAGUGAGUGAACUUGUGAGGCAUCCUGACCAUGAAACGGCUUGAGAAGUGAGAUGUGAAAGACUGGAUGAAUCUUAGAAUCAGGAGGUAAAUCCAAGCGAUAGGCCACAACGCCAAUACGCUCCAUUACUCGAAAAGGACCAUAAUAUCGCUUCGCUAGCUUGUUGGAUAAUUUGUUUGCAACUGAUAUUUGCCGAUAAGGCUGCAACUUAACCAAAACUUGAUCCCCGACCCGAAGCUCUAGCUCACGGCGAUGAGCAUUAGCCUUUUGCUGCAUUCUAUGUUGAGCUGCUCGCAAGUUGGUUUUCAAGGCUGUUAGGAAGGCAUCACAUUCCAGCAGCAAUUCAUCAAGUGCUUGGAUUGAAGUAGAGCUCCCGGUAUAGGAAGGAAUUACAGGUGGCUCAUGACCAUACAAGGCCUUAAAAGGAGACAUUUGGAUGCUUGUAUGAAAGCUAGUGUUGUAAGAAAACUCAGCCUAGCCUAAAUAAUCGAACCACGAUGUCGGUUUCGCUUGUGUGAAUACUCGCAAAUGCUGCUCGAGUCCUCGAUUAAUAACCUCUGAUUGGCCAUCCGUUUGAGGAUGAUAUGAUGUACUAUGCUUCAAUGUGGUACCACUUAACUCAAAGAGUUUCUUCCAAAAGCUACAAAGAAAGAUAGAGUCACGAUCUAAAAUUAUUGUACGAGGAAAACCAUGGUGCUUAACAACCAUAUCAGUGAAUAAAACAACUGUUUUGCUUGUUGUAAAGUGUGUGGGUAGAGCACCAAAAUGAGCUGAUUUUGUCAAUCGGUCAACAACGACUAAGAUAACAGUGAACCCAUGGGAAGAGGGUAAACCUGUAAUGAAGUCUAUGGUAACUUCCUACCAAACUAGUGAAGGUAUAGGCAAGGGUUGAAGGAGUCCAGUUGGUGCCUGAGUAGAGUAUUUUGUUUGCUGACACAAUAAACAAGAGGCGACAAAUAACUCCACAUCCUUGUGCAUAUUUGGCCAAUAAAAGAGAGUGGAUAGACGAACUAAUGUCCGCUUGACUCCGGCAUGACCUGCAACUGGUGUGGCAUGAAAUUCUUGUAAUAAAGAAGGCUUCAAAACAGAGUGAGAGCUGAUGAAGAACCUGUUUUUGAACCGUAGGAUUCCAUCCGAGACCGAAUAUGGAUACAUUACAGAACCAGAGGAAUACUUCUGAUGGAGAGCUAAGAGAUCCGGUAAAGACUGAUUUUCCGCACGAAGAAUAGAGAGGAAUUUAGGAAUAGGACAGCUAGCGAGUAACAGAGUAGCAGUAGAAUGGCCAUAUAAUUUAGGGACAUCAACUUCAUGUACCCUGGAUAAGGCAUCAGCUGCACUAUUAGUUCGACCCGGCUUAUAUUCAACCCUGAAAUGAUACCCCAGUAAUUUACGAACAUAAAAUUGUUGCUCUGGAGUUUGGAUAACCUGCUGAAGGAGCUCUCGAAUACUUUUCUGGUCAGUUCGGAUAAUAAAGAAAUGGCCUAACAAGUAUUGUCUCCACUUAUGUACUGCUUCGGCAAUGGCAUGAAGUUCUUUGAUAUAAGUAGAAGCGACAAGCAUGCGAGGACCCAAUUUUCGGCUAAAAUAAGCAAUCGGAUGAUCAGCUUGCAUCAGUACGGCUCCAUACCAACAUUCGAGGCAUCCGUUUCAAUAAAAAAAUCCAAUUGAAAAUCUGGCAAGCGAAGGACUGGUGCUGCAUUCAUGGCUUGUUUUAAGGCAGCGAAGGCCGUGUCAGCUGCGGAGGACCAAUGGAAACAAUCCUUCCGUAAUAAAUUUGUGAGAGGGGUAGCAAUGGAAGCAUAUGCUUUAAUAAAGCGAUGAUAGUAGCCUGUGAGACCCAAGAAUCCUCGCAAUUGUUUUGUGGUAGACGGCGUAGGCCAAUUAGACAUGACCACCAACUUGCGAGGAUAAGCCUCAACUCCAGAAGAGGAAACAAUAUGGUCGAGAUAUUCAAUGUUAUCUUGGCAAAAAAAAAUCACUUUGAGAGCUUAAAAAAAAAAUGAUUAGUAUGAAGACAAUCAAAUACUCUAUGUAAAUGCUCAAAAUGGUCUUCUAAAGAAGUGCUGUACACUAAGAUAUCGUCAAAGAAAACGAUCACAAACUUACGGAGAUAAGGAGCAAAGAGCCUAUUCAUUGUCGCUUGAAAUGUGGAAGGGGCAUUAGAGAGUCCAAAAGGCAUAACAAGGAACUCAAAAUGCCCAUCAUGAGUCCGAAAGGCUGUUUUAUAAAUAUCUCUGUCACAUACUCGUAUUUGAUGGUACCCCGCUCGCAAAUCCAGCUUACUGAAAAUACAAGCACCACCAAGCUCGUCUAAUAACUCAUCAAUAGUUGGUAUCGGAAAUUUGUCUUUAAUUGUUACCGCGUUCAAGGCUCGGUAAUCUACACAAAAACGAUAGGAGCCAUCUUUCUUUUUAACCAGCAACACAGGUGAAGAGAAUGGGCUCUGACUUGGGCGAAUAAUGCCUUGAUCAAGCAUUUCUUUAAUUAGUCUCUCCAUUUCGGCCUUUUAGAAGUGAGGAUAACGGUAUGGGCGAACAUUGACAGGUUUAGUAUUUGGGAGAAGAUGAAUGUGAUGGUCAAUAAGUCUAUGAGGAGGUAGGGAAGAUGGAGUGUGAAAUAAUUGCUCAUAUUGAUGAAGAAGGGCAAGUACAGGGGAAGGCAAAUCGGGUGGGAAGUCAAACUUAGCAGCAGUGGUUGGAACAGAGAGGGUAUCCUGCGCGUCUGUAGUAGUAUGCAACUAGAAAAAUUCAAAAAAAUUUGUCUUUAAUUGUUACUGCGUUCAAGGCUCGGUAAUCAACACAAAAAUUAGUAUGCAACUAGAAAAAUUCAAAAAGGCCGUGGAUUUGAUCAUGGGACAUGAGGGCUUGUAAUUGAUGAAAAGAAAUCAGUCUUAGAGACAAUGAGAGAUCACCUCGCAGGAAGACAGGAGAGCCAUUAUAGAAAAAUUCCGUUGACAAUGCCGCAUAGUCAUGAGAAACUUUGCCAAGCAGCUGUAACCAUUGAAUUCCGAGGACAAUAUCCGGUCCCUCAAUAGGAAGAACAUAAAGGUCGAUGUAGAAAACAUGGCCUUGCAUAGAUAAGGUGACUUGGGAACAAACAUAUCGACAAACUAAAGAAUCACCAUUACCGAUAUAUACUGGGAAUGUGGUAGUGUCUUAUACUGCUAACCCCAAAACUUCAGCCACAGCGGGUUUAAUAAAAUUAUGGGUGCUACCACUAUCGAUAAGUGCUUGCACGGGCUGUUGAUUAAUUUCACCAAGGAGUCGUAGAGAGCGAGGAGUAUUUUGGUCCGCUAAGGCAUUUAAACUAGAGAUAUCACCAACUAUAAUAGUUUCCUCAACAACAUCUGAGAUCUCAGAAUUAAUUGGUGGACCCAUCGCCUCGUCAACAUCCUCUGUUCCUAAAAGAAGCAGAAACUUACUACGGCAUCUAUGAGAGUUGCUCCACUUCUGGUUGCAAUUGUAGCAGAGUCCUUUCUCCCUUUUUUCACGAAGUUCUUGAGGAGAAAGACGCUUAAUAGGGAGAGAUGGCGUUGAUAAAAGUGGAGGUAAAGUGGACGGGGCAGGUUGAGGUGGGUUUAUGGCAGGGGCACUUGCAGGAUUAUGAUUGGUUGUAGUAGGGUGAAAGGAUGGUGUGGUGGUUUUGUGGGUUCACUUAGACCAAGGUCUGGACGUAACUUUACUCUCAUCUCCAUGUGCUUCAAACAUACGAGCCAGUGCAAAUGCCUCCAUCAACGAGGAAGGCCGUGACAGCAAUAGCUCGUGAUGAAUAUCCACUCGCAACCCUGUGAUAAAAAAUGAGAUAAGGAGAGGCUCGGAAAUACCAGUGACUUUAUUCAUGAGGUCCCCAAACUCGGUUUGAAAUUCUGCCACACUUGAUUUCUGUGUAAGUUUGGAUAGAUUGCCUUGGUGGUCCUCAUACAGGGAAGCUCCGAAACGAAACUUCAGAUUUUGAAGAAAAUCCUUCCAACUGGUAAGAAGAUCAUUCGCCUUCAUCCAUUGGUACCAAGUCGAAGCGCGACCUUCCAAAUGAAAAGACACGAUGUGGAGACAAAGAGCUUCGGAUGUGCCAUGGAAAUCAAAAUACUCAUUGAUGCGAAAAGCCCAACCGUUUGGGUCAGUUCCAUCAAAUUUUGGGACCUCGAGUUUCAUUGUUCGCAAGAGAGGAUUGGAGUCAUGGGUGCCCGAUGAACCAUCAGAUAUCUGUGGAAACGAGGGUGGAUUCGAUGGUCCAUUUGUUGGAACCGAAGGUAACCCCUUGAUCUGAGAACGCAAGUCCUCCAAGCGAGAAUCCACGGUAAGAGCAUCUCCAAAAGGCUAUAUAAGUUUUACUCUUCAAAUACUUAUUUGCUUACUUAUGUGGCAAAUAGAAAGGUGAAAAAAUAUGAUAUUCUCCAAAAGACAAUUCAAAUAGAAAUAAGUUAAUAUUAUUUUAAUCAUAUAAUUAGUUUUUUAAAGGAAAAGUCAAUAACAAUUAAAGCUCUUCUCUCUCUUUCUUCAAUGAAAAGUAAUAAAAUAUAAAUUGAAGAGGGGGAAAUUAACUCUCCAAAUUUGAAGAGAGGGAAUUAAUUCUUGUUUGAAGAAUUUUAAUUGAAGUGCCUUUUGAAGUUUUAAAUAUUGAUGUGGCUCUUCAAAUAAGUAAUAAAAUCUUAUUUAAAGAGACUUUUGGUGAUGCUCUAAGCAUGUAUUGUUGCAGUGUGUGAUGAACUGCGACCGUUUGGCUAUCAAGUUUUGUUUGUAAAGCUUUAAUGGCAAUUAGAAUCUCCGAAUCAGCCAUGAUGAGCAAAUAUCAAUGAAAGCACCAAUGUUAUGCCGCUGGUGAACACACCGAACAGCAAGGUUUCCACACUUUUCAAGCAAGUGCAAGCUCCCAGAAUUUUAAAGAAACGAGUGAACGGCAAGAGAGAAUAGAGAGGAAAAUUCAGAGAAGAAGAAGAAACUAAGUCCAGAAUUUUUAUAUAUAUCCCAUCAAAUACAACCAUGGAAAUACUUAUAGCAGCAAGAAUAUGCUCACAGCUGUCAAAACUAAAUAACAACCUCUCUCUAUAACAAAAAAUUAUUCUCUAAAUAGCUAAGGCCGUUAAAAACCGAGUCCUCUGCUCAUAUAUGCUCAAUGUGUGUAAUCCUUGAACCAUUUGGGAGGCUUCCUUACGCUACUUGGCUUGAUGUUAGCUUGGGGUCGGUUUUGGAUAGCCUCACUUGAGUUUGCCUGGGCCUUUUCCUCGCUAUUGAUAGAGCUAGCUGAGUUGGGCUUGUCUAACUGUAAUAUUGAGGUUGUAACAGAAUGGCGCCCAUGUGAUAAAUAAGGAGUUUUAAGAAGCAUGCCAUUUGCACUAAUUAAUACUGUCAGACAUGUGAUUCCAUGAACAUGAUGAUGAUCAUCAGUUACAUUUAGUUAGUGAUGGUGGUUUUCACGUGUUUUAACAAACAUGGUAGUAGCAAUUUAUGAAUAUUCAUUACAAAGUGGCUUGUGUUUGGAAAGCAAACAAUAUGACUAUUUUGAGUGGCUUGCGUGUCUACAUAAGUUUUUGCUCUGGCUGCUAAGUUAUUGAAGUUUGACCACACAAUUCUUAUCCAUUUUGUCAUUUUUGUUUGGAGGAUUUGAUGAUUUUCAGUGGGACAGUAGGGUAUAGAGAGUAGUUAUCGUACAUCCGCCUUGGCCGUACAGCAGUGUGUUAGUAAAGUGAUUGCAUUUGCACUUUCCUAGUUGCACCAACAUUUUGCGAUUUGGGAAUUUAAAUGAUGAAUUCUUAAUAAUUCACUUGGUGUUAAGCUUUUCAAUUGUUUUACGGCUAGAAAAUAUUGAGAUUGAGAAGAAAAACAUCUCCUGAUAUGGAUGUUGUAAAUUUUUUUUUUUUUUAACUUUCGUUCUUUUUUUAACUAUUUUAUAAUUUGCUAAAGAGUUGUUUGAGAAUCUCUACAGGGAUAAUGGUAUUUUCAGUUUUACAGAACUUGAUAGUAAAUGAUCAUGUACAACUUCUUUUAUUUAUUUUUUAUAUUUGACAUUCACUAUUUGACCUAAUCGAUAUCUUGGUCCUUGUAUAUUAUCUUUAGGCUUUCCAAUUAUCUUCUAACACUGCUUGAAAUGGAAGAGUUCUCCUUGGAUUAUAUUGAUUCAUUGAAUAGGAAAGAUCUAAACGAGAACUUUUUAAACAAAAACUAUUAAUUAAUGGCUUUCUUUACCAGGCUGUGAUCCUUCAUUUUCGUGGCUUAAUAUGUAAAAUGUAACUAACAUAGGUACAAGGAGGGCUACAGGAACUGGAUGGUUGACCAUGCUAUUCACCCAGUCAUUGAUUGAAGGUGCAGUAGAUACUUAAUCUUAAUUAAUGUUGAAUUUACUUGUCAAUGUUCUUUUGCAAGACUUAAUUUUGUUUUUACCAGGAUAUUGAAGGCUAAAAUAGGAGUAUAUGGGGUGUUGCUAGCUAUUGCUUUUUAAGGUCUGUAUUAUCAUGAGUUGUCUUUUCUAAUUAGUUCUUGAUUUGACACUAAAUAAGUCUUGCACUAGUUAAUUAAUAAAAUGAGAUAUAAUAAUAAUAUAGUCUGUAUUUUUUUCUCUAUCCCAAUAAUAAUGUGGUCUUUAUAUGAUAGUUCUGUAGACGUGGGCAAUGAAGAAAGGUUAGAAAAGUUGCCUAAUGGUGGUUGAAAGGGGGGAAAAAUCUGGCUGCUAGGUCGAUUUGCAUAUUGUCAUCCAUUGGAGAACUUAAGUUGAGUAGGCGAUAUUUAUUGACAACUCAUUGAUGUUUUUUUUUUUGGGGCCCCCCCGGGGGGAGGGGGGGAUAAGAUGUUGACAACCCAUAGAUUGCUAUUUUAGCUUUAAAAAAGAUCAAAUAGAUGAUGCUGGACAGUUCCAAGUCAAAAAAGGAAAAAGGGAAAAGAAAUUUCAAUGGAGGUUCAAAGCAAUAGAUAUUUUCUUGGCAGGAGAUCUAGUAAGUCACCUAUCUGGAAAAAUGCCCCAAGUCUCCUUCUUCCUUCAAGAUUGUAAGGUUCGGUUGCAGCUCCUGGUUUCUGACUCGAGUUUUCCUAAUUGGGUUGGAAGGUAUCUGGAUUAAUCCUCCUAACAUAUCUCCUGAUGCAACAUAGUUGUAAAACAGUUGUAUUCUCUUCCAUUUAGAAUGGCUGUAUCAUACUCUUAUUGGUGCCUAGUAUUGUUGAGUUCAUAAGAGUGAUUUUUACUAUUGUAUAUUGUUAGCAGUUGCUAGCAGUUGAGGCAAACUAAUUCUUGUUACAAGCAUGUUUAUGGGAGGACCCUGGAUGUGAUGCUAUCUUUACACAUAUAUAAAUUACAACUGCCAUUUAUCAAUUUUUAAUUUUUCUAUUGUAAAAUUGUUAUUAACAUUAUUUAUUUGGCUUCCAAAUGCAGGAUUCUUCCAAGGUGCCUCAAAAGCCGAAAUUUGCCACAUCUAAAAGGUAAUGGUAGCUCAAUUUAUAUUUCACAAGUUGUAUAUUAUUUUUAGCCCCCAAGAAAGUAUUAUGCUCUUUAUCAUAUAUUUUAUUUGCACAAAGUUUUUAUUUGUAGCCUCUCAUCUGUUUAAGUAAGAAGUCUGCCAUCUUACAUUGCUAUUACCAGUUUUGAUAUGUAGUAGCAAACAAUUUUUCUUUCUUUUUAGUUGUAUAAUGGUCUUAAUUUUAUAGCUAAUUUAUGUAUGACUACAAAAAAAGUCUUCGAGCAUGUGAUGUAGUUCAAAAGGCACUGAUAUAGUGUUUGUGGACAGCAUCACAUUCUUAGUUAUGGUAGUGCUUGAACCAUAAAUAUGCCCAAGUUACUCUUUCCUUGCACUUGAAAGAGUGUUUUGUUUGGGGAUUUGUGUUUGGUUGCUGGUAGUCCUGUUUGAAUAUCCAAGUAAAUAGACAAUAGAUACCAUGCAAGCUCGCCUUACUCGUAGGCAUGGUGCAUGCUGAACAAGAGGCAAUUUCUAUGGAUCCUAAAGAGGUAAUAAAUUCAGAAGUACACACACUAAUUAACAAACACCACCUCCAAAUUACAAAAUGUUUUAAUCCUUCACCUUCUCACUUCCUAUAGAAUAGCUAACCCUUCACCUUCUCACUUCCUAUAGAAUAGCAUCAUACCAGGCCCUUGCCCUUCUCUUUCCUCUGCACUUAACGGGAGAAUAGCUUUCUCUACUCUAGCGAAAACUCGAAGAACAGCACAAUGAUGAGCAAUUUCGAAUAAGAGGAGUUAGAGAAGAGAGAGAAAAAAUUCUUUGCAUUGCACUCGAGGAUUCAGCUUUGAUUUAUUUUUAUUCUCGUGUUUAGCUAAGGUGAAAUCACCUUCCAUAAGGGUCCACUCAUCAUUUUCCCUACCCUCUUAUAUCAUCUAAUUAUUACUUAAAUUGGUCAUCAAGUUCCUUUUAUGUUAAACUGCAGUGAGUUUGAGGAACUGGAAGCUGUUCCAACUAUGACAGUUAUGGAUGGUCCUCUAGAGUUGGGUGAAAUGAGAUAUGAUAAUAAUAUAGUCUGUAUUUUUUUCUAUAUCCUAAUAAUAAUGUAGUCUUUAUAUGAUAGUUAAAUAAUAAUGUAGUCUUUAUAUGAUAGUUGUGUAGACGUGGGCAAUGAAGAAAGGUUAGAAAAGUUGCCUAAUGGUGGUUGAAAGGGGGGAAAAAUGUGGCUACUAGGUCGAUUUGCACAUUUGUCAUCCAUUGGAAAACAUAAGUGGGAAAAAUGUGGCUGCUCGGUCGAUUUGCACAUUGUCAUCAUUGGAGAAUAUAAGUUGAGUAGGCACUAUUUAUUGACAACUCAUUGAUUUUUUUUUUGGGGGCCCCCGGGGAGGGGGGGGUGAUAAGAUGUUGACAACCCAUAGAUUGCUAUUUUAGCUUUAAAAAAGAUCAAAUAGAUGAUGCUGCAAAGUUCCAAGUCAAAACAAGAAAAAGGGAAAAGAAAUUUCAACGGAGGUUCAAAGCAAUAGAUAUUCUCUUGGCAGGAGAUCCAGUAAGUCACCUAUCUGGAAAAAUGCCCCAAGUCUCCUUCUUCCUUCAAGAUUGUAAGGUUCAGUUGGGGCCCCUGGUUUCUGACUCAAGUUUGUUAAUUGGGUUGGAAGGUAUCUGGAUUAAUGCUCCUAACAUAUCUCCUGAUGCGACAUAGUUGUAAAACAAUUGUAUUCUCUUCCAUUUAGAAUGGCUGUAUCAUACUCUUAUGGGUGCCUAGUAUUGUUGAGUUCAUAAGAGUGAUUUUUCUAUUGUAUAUUGUUAGCAGUUGCUAACAGUUGAGGCAAACUAAUUCUUGUUACAAGCAUGUUUAUGGGAGGACCCUGGAUGUGAUGCUAUCUUUACGCAUAUUGUAAAAUUGAUAUUAACAUUAUUUAUUUGGCUUCCAAAUGCAGGAUUCUGAAUGCAUAUUCCAAGGUGCCUCAAAAGUCGAAAGUUGCCACACCUAAAAGGCAAUGAUAGCUCAAUUUAUAUUUUGCAAGUUGUAUGUUAUUUUUACCCCGCAAGAAAGUAUUAUGCUCUCAUACCAGGCCCUUGCCCUUCUCUUUCCUCUGCACUUAACGGGAGAAUAGCUUUCUCUACUCUAGCGAAAACUCGAAGAACAGCACAAUGAUGAGCAAUUUCGAAUAAGAGGAGUUAGAGAAGAGAGACAAAAAAUUCUUUGCAUUGCACUCGAGGAUUCAGCUUUGAUUUAUUUUUAUUCUCGUGUUUAGCUAAGGUGAAAUCACCUUCCAUAAGGGUCCACUCAUCAUUUUCCCUAACCUCUUAUAUCAUCUAAUUAUUACUUAAAUUGGUCAUCAAGUUCCUUUUAUGUUAAACUGCAGUGAGUUUGAGGAACUGGAAGCUGUUCCAACUAUGGCAGUUAUGGAUGGUCCUCUAGAGUCAACUCCCUCAAAUGCUGCUGAUGCUCCUGAAGAUCCUGCUUUUGUGAACUUCUUUAGUGUAUGUUUUCUUUGAAAUAAUAUGUUUCUGCAUAAGUAUGCAACAUUACCACAAAAAUGCUGCAAGUCAUAUACUAAAUCGACAAUAGAUACCAUGCAAGCUCGCCUUACUCGUAGGCACAGUGCAUGCUAAACAAGAGGCAAUUUCUAUGGAUCCUAAAGACGUAAUAAAUUCAGAAGUACACACACUAACAAACACCACCUACAAAUUGUAAAAUGUUGUAACCCUUCACCUUCUCACUUCCUAUAGAAUAGCGUCAUACCAGGCCCUUGCCCUUCUCUUUCCUCUGCACUUAACGGGAGAAUAGCUUUCUCUACUCUAGCGAAAACUCGAAGAACAGCACAAUGAUGAGCAAUUUCGAAUAAGAGGAGUUAGAGAAGAGAGACAAAAAAUUCUUUGCAUUGCACUCGAGGAUUCAGCUUUGAUUUAUUUUUAUUCUCGUGUUUAGCUAAGGUGAAAUCACCUUCCAUAAGGGUCCACUCAUCAUUUUCCCUACCCUCUUAUAUCAUCUAAUUAUUACUUAAAUUGGUCAUCAAGUUCCUUUUAUGUUAAACUGCAGUGAGUUUGAGGAACUGGAAGCUGUUCCAACUAUGGCAGUUAUGGAUGGUCCUCUAGAGUCAACUCCCUCAAAUGCUGCUGAUGCUCCUGAAGAUCCUGCUUUUGUGAACUUCUUUAGUGUAUGUUUUCUUUGAAAUAAUAUGUUUCUGCAUAAGUAUGCAACAUUACCACAAAAAUGCUGCAAGUCAUAUACUAUUUCAUAUGUUAUCACUUCUUUUUUGUGUGAGGUUCAACUUCUAUGAAGUACUUGUAUAUGACACCUGUCCUUAUCAUUGCAGACAGCUAUGACUGUGGGGAAUACUUCUAAUGCAGCAAUCUCUGCACAACCUUACCAGUCCAAUACAACUAUUUCUGUACCUUCUCAUCCCGCCAGUGUUGCUUCUCCUAUCGUGCCAACCUUGCAAAUACCAUGCCCACCUCUAUCAGCACCUACCCCUUUAAUGCUACCCAUUGACACCUCUGAAUCUGGCAACUGGAUGCCUAAUCUUGUAAAGCCUUCCUUAUUCUUUGUUGCUCCUCCAUCCUCCUCUGCACAUAUGAUGCAGCCUGUCUCUUCAUCUACACCAACAGCUCCGCCACUUAAUCCUCCCUUGAGUCUGCAAUGCCCAUAUGGUGCCCCAGUGCUUCAACCUUUUCCGCCACCAACCCCUCCACCAUCUCUUACUCCUGCUCUUACUUCAAACAGUGGACCAUUUAUCAGCAAGGAGAAAGUCCGGGAGGCACUGCUGGUGCUUGUUCAGGUUAGGAUUUCUGGUUAUGCAAAUGCUUGAAGCUGGAAUUGCAUCUGACAUGUUCAUGUUUACUGUUAUUAAGAUUAGGGGAACUUUAUCAUACAGCUGGUAUAAUCUUCUUAAUUGCAUAUUGAUAGUAGAUUUAAAGCUAGCAUAUUUAUAUUUGUAUUGUCAGAAAUGCUCUUUGGAUUUCUUAUGUACAAAAAUGCAUUCAUAGCACGCAUUUUAUCCACUCUUUUAAGUGACUUUGAAUUACUGUUUACUUUUUGAUGAUAUCUAAAUUGACAUGUAAAUAAAUUUAUGUUCAUCAGUGGAUUGAACUAUUUUUCACUUAUCCCAGUCUUCAAAAUCAUGAACCCCGCACCACUUUGCCAUGCUUAGAGCGCAAACACUAAUGCGAGACACUUAUUUUUUGUGAUGCAUUUUCAAUUAUUAUUUUUUUCCUUGUAUAUCUGACCAGCUUUUAUAUGUAAUAGGACAAUCAAUUCAUAGAGAUGGUCUAUCGAGCACUGCUGAAUGCACACCAUUCAUGACCAGCUGAAAGUGAUACCAUUAUGUAGCUGCUAGAUUUUGUCUACCAUGUAGCUUUCUGCAAGUGUAUAAAACCCAGUUUGUAUAGUGUUUCAACUCAAAUCAGUAUUUUUUAUGGAAAAAUUAUUGGUAUCAGUAAUUUUUAUGGAAAAAUUAUUGGUAUAUAAUUAUUCUUGUUUCUUUUUGUUAGGGAUGAUGAAAAAACACUUGCAGGAUUUAAAUGUCAUUUUUGGGUUUGAGCUUAUUCUAAGUUACAGGCUUCGAAAGUGUGUUCAUUUAUACCCACAAUUUAGUUAUGCUGGUUAAACAAAAUGAGCUGGGAUAGUUUUUGGAUUCAUGACAUGAAUAAAAUUGGAUUAUUUUGUGCACGGUUUGGUGUGUUAGGUGUGUUUGUUGUGAGGAAGAGGGCAAAAAGAAAAAAAAAAUUGUGGGUUGUGAAAUUUCUUAAAUGAACCUUCUCUUAUUGGUUCUUGUUUGAAAGUUAAAUUGUAAUCGUAAAAGUUGUUUGGAAGCUAAGAAAAUGAUAAAAAAACUUUCUGGGAAACUCUUGACUUUAUUUAAUCUCACGUUAUUACUUACAAAUACAAUCACAACAAUAUUUAUACUAACACUGAUAUCUCAACCAGGAUUACAGUUGAUUAACAACUAGAGAACAGAACGUAAAACAUGAUUAACAGAUUUGUUGAGCUAGCUUCUUUUGUCAAUUAACUGCUGACUCAUCAUUGACACACGUGCUAAGUAUGCAGCUCCCUUUUGUACAUUGUGAGCUUUCUUAACAGCCCCCCUCAAACUUAAGGGCAUUUGAGUUUGCUCUUGAGGUAAUUAAAUUGAGUGAAUGUGAGAGGCCUGGUCAAGAUGUCUGCAAUCUGUUCUUCACGGGGAAUGUAAUUGAUUUCCAGCUCUCUUGCUAACACUUUGUCUCUUAUAAAGUGCAUGUCCAAUUCAAUAUGUUUGGUUCUCGAGUGGUAGACAAGAUUUUUGACCAGCUCAGUUGCACUUAUGUUAUCACACCAGAUUGUGGGCAUUGAAACACAUUCAAUCUUGAGUUUCUUGAAUAAUGACUGUAACCAUGUAAUUUCUGCACUUGCAGAAACAAGAGCUCUGCAUUCACUCUCUACACUAGACCUUGUAACUAUAGAUUGCUUCUUGAAUGACCAAGAUAUCAAGUUAUUUCCCAAGUAAAUACAGUAUGCACCUGUUGAUUUCAUAUCAUCAAUAUCACACGCCCAAUCUGCAUCUGUGAAACCUGUUAACUUUAUUUCUCCAUCAGCUGAAAAUUUCAAUCCAUAGUCUUCUGUUUCUCUCAAAUAUCUAAGCAUUCUCUUAUAGGCUAUGAUAUGUUGUAGUGUAGGUGCAGAACCGUAUUGGCUUAACUUGUUCACUGCAAAAGCUAUCUCUGGCCUGGUCAGAACUAAAUACUGCAGCCCUCCAAUUAAACUUCUAUAACUUGUUGCAUCUUCAACAUGCUGACCAAUCCAUAGUCUUCUGUCUCUUUCAAAUAUCUAAGCAUUCUCUUACAGGCUAGGAUGUGUUGUAGUGUAGGUGCAGAAACAUAUUGACUUAGCUUGUUUACUGCAAAAGCUAUCUCUGGCCUGGUCAGAACUAAAUACUGCAGCCCUCCAAUUAAACUUCUAUAACUUGUUGCAUCUUCAACAUGCUGACCCAAAGAUCCCUUAGCUUCCUUUUGAAGUUUUGUCCCUGUAAUCAUUGGUGUAUCACAUCCUUUGCAGUGAAGCAUAUCAGCUUUACUCAGCAGGUCUCUAAUAUAUUUUCUUUGGGAUAAUUAAAUGUUGUUCUUAGCAUAAGAUACUUCUAUACCCAAAAAAUAUGAGAGUCUUCCCAAAUCUUUCAAUGCAAACACUUUGCUGAAAUCUGAGAUAAACUUUUCAAGUUCAUCACUGUUAGGCCCUGUUAUCAAUAUGUCAUCAACAUAAAUCAAGACUAGUACCAUUAAAUCUUGUUUUCCCUUAAAGAAUAGUGAAGUAUCAGCUCUGGAAUUUUGAAAUCCCCAAUUUGUAACCAAACAACCUUUUAGUUUAUCAAACCAAGCUCUAGGAGCUUGUUUCAACCCAUAUAAAGCCUUCUUCAACUUACAUACAUAACAUGAUCUCUUCUCAUAAAAAAACUUCAGGUUGACACAUGUAGACAUCUUCUGUUAAGUCACCUUUCAGAAAAGCAUUGUUGACAUCUACUUGUCUGAUCAUCCAACUAUGCAUUGCAGCCAAGCUCAAUAUAACCCUCACUGUGGAAGCCUUUAUAACAGGGCUAAAAGUUUCGAAAUAAUCAAUCCCUUCAGUUUGUUGAAAUCCUUUAGCAACCAAUCUAGCUUUGUACUUUGCUAUACUGUCAUCACUAUUUUGUUUGACCCUGAACACCCAUUUGUUUCCAACUAUUUUGCAUUCAGCUGGAGGUGGUACAAGAGACCAAGUCUCAUUCCUGAUCAAAGCUUCAUAUUCUUCUUUUAUGGCCUUAUACCAAUUUCUAUCAUUCAGACCUUCUUGAACUGUGUCAGGUUCUUUGUUGAUCAAGGUGGUUGUAUACAACUUAGGCUUGAAUAUUCCAGACUUUGAUCUGGUAAUCAUUUUGUGUGUGGGUUGUGAGAUCAGAAUUAUGUUUGGAUUAUAUUCAGUGUGUUGCUGAUUGCUUGUUUGUGGUUCGGGUUGUGUUUGAGUAUAUUCAGGGAUUUGAGGGAUAACUUGUGAUGUUGAUGGUUAUGAUAAAGAAUAACUAUAUGAUUCUUGUUGAUGCACAUUAUUUGUAUGCUCAGGCAAUGCAAGAGUUUGUUCAUCACUUGGUACACUUGCUGAGUAAGUAUCUUCAAAGCUGCUGUUGAAUAAGGGUAGAGUUGAAAGAUGAUAGACUUGUUGUUUAGAGAAAUUUGACACUGGUGUUUCUGAUUUGGCAACAUUUUCAGAUGAAGAAGAAACAAAGAUUGUUGUAUAUGGAAAUACACUUUCAUCGAAAACAACAUGUCUAAGGAUAUGAACUUGACCUGAACUUGUGAGACAUUUAUAUCCCUUAUGAGAUGAGCUAUAACCAAUAAAGAUGCACUUACUGCUAUGAAAGUCAAAUUUAUGUCUUUUAAAAUCUCUCAAGUAUGGAUAACAGAGACAACCAAAGCAUUUAAGGAAGCUAUAAUCUGGUUUAUGCUUAAAAAGCUUCUCAUAUGGAGAUAAGAGUUUCAAUACAGGUGUUGGUAAUCUGUUUAUGUGAUACACUGCUGUAUGAACAGCUUUCCACCAGAAUUUAAAAGGAAGAUUAGCUUGAGCUAAAAGAGUCAAAGCUAACUCAAUUAUAUGUCUAUGUUUUCUUUCUACUAGACCAUUUUGAUGAUGUGUGUAAGGGCAUAAAUGUCUGAAAAUGAUCUCAUUCUGGUUUAAAAAAUCAGUAAAAACUCUAUAUUUUCUCCCCCAGUCAGAUUGCAGCAUCUUGACUUUGGUAUUGAACUGAUUCUCUACUUGAAUUUUGAACAAUUUGAAGACUUCAAAAGCUUCUGAUUUGAGUUUGAGUGGGUAAACCCAUAUAUACCUACUAUAAUCAUCUACAAAGCUAAUGUAGUAUUUAAAACCAUUUCUAGAUGUAGUAGGUGAAGGCCCCCAAAGAUCAGUAUGUAUCAGUUCUAAUACUUGAGUUGUUUUGGUUUUGGUUGUAGAAAAAUGUUGCUUGUGAGCUUUUCCUAAUUGACUUGCUUCACAUAUAGAAUGCACAGGAGAUAAAAUUGACUUUUGAGAUACUUUAACUUGUUUACAAGUCUUAAGCAAAUGCACCAAUACUGUUGAGCUUGGAUGACCAAACUUUCUGUAUAACAAGGUAAGUUCAUCAUGUUUCUGGUUACACUUAUUUGAAAUUGAGCUGAAACAAGUCUUAUCAAAACAAUUACAAUGAUGAGAAAUAGAAGACACAUUUGAGCAUGAUAGCAUGGAUAUUGGUUUAUGUGACUGAAGUUAAGAAAGAUGAAAGGCAGGUGAUGUGUGAUAAGCAGAAGAUGACAGAGAAGAAGAUUUAAUCAACAGCUUGUAAAGACCUUUCUUAGCAAGGCCCUGCAGAAGAACUUGCCCCUUCAUGUCCUUAACAUAACAACCAUUUCCAAAAAAUUCAACAGAGAGUGAAUUAUCAAAUGUAAGUUUGAAAAUGCUUAGUAAAUUCUUAGUGAUUGUAGGAACAAGCAACAUAUCUUUAAGUGCUAUAGUGGUGGCAUGUGUGUAAGGAUGUUUUGAAGCUCUAAAUGAUAAAAAUGCAUGACCAAUAUGAGAAAUUGACAGACCUUGACCAUUUUCAAUAAUGAGUUGAUCAGUACCUUUGUAGUCUUCCUUAAAAUGCAAGUUCUCCAUAUUGUUGGUCAAGUGAUGAGUUGCCCCACUAUCCAAAUACCAGCCAUCAUCAGCAAAGCUUUCAAAAUUAGCCACAUAAGCUUCUGCAGGUGCAUAGUUAUCAAUUUCAGAAUAGCAGCUUGUCUCAGAUGCAGGAUGAUUAUCAUAGUUAUCAUAACCUUGAUAUGGACAUAUAAAGCCAUUAAAAUUAGCAAUAUAUGCUGAUUUUGGUCAUUUGCCUCUGUUUAGACUCCUUGAAGAAGGGACAUAAUCCUCCAUAAAUCGAUGCCAGUAAAUAUCAACAGUGUGACCAGGCUUAAAGCAAAUUUGGCAAACCAAUUCUUCUGCAUUGUUUGGAAUUCCUUGAAGUCCAUUCAUACUAGUAACUCCAGUUCGAGCAAAUUGUAUUGGAUUUCUAGGUGCAUGAAAAGAGUUGACAUUAUUUGAGCCAAAUAAGUGUCCUCUUCCAUAUCCACCUCUGUGAUUUCCAUUAAACAUCCUUGGAGACUGAAAAAUAUUUCCUCUUCCAGCAGUAUGAUUUCUACCAGUAUUACCAAAUAAACAUCCUUGGAGACUGAAAAAUAUUUCCUCUUCCAGCAGUAUGAUUUCUACCAGUAUUGCUAAACUGAGCACCGGCAUAUCCUCCUCUUCUAAAAUUAUUUCUUGAUUGAGCAUAGAAUGCCCUUGGAUAAUAGGCAUUUGUAUAAGCAUAAUUUGCAUUAAACAUGCUUUUAUCAUUCUGCUCUUGUUCAAGUCUGGUUUCAUGAGUUAAUAAUAAUGCAUAAGCAUCAUCAUAGUCCAUUUUAGAACCAGUUAUAAAGGUAGCAAUAUCACGAUAGCCUGUUCCUAAGCUAUUAAGAAUUGUCAGCAUGAGAUCUUUCUCUGUUAUAGGACUUCCAGCACUAGCAAGUUUAUUUGCUACAGUUUUCAUUUUGAUGCAGUAGUCUUCAAUACUCAUUGAUUCCUUCCUAAGAGUAUUUAACUCAUAUCUAAGUUGAAGAACCCUAGCUUCAGAUUGCACACCAAAUUUCUUUUCUAAAGUUCUCCAAACAUCAAAAGAGCUUCCACAAUUUAUGACAAGAUUUAGAGUACCUUCACUUAUUGAUGAUAACAUCCAUCCAAGCAAAGUUUGAUCCUGUGACCUCCAAUUCUGAUAUUCUGGAUUAUCAAUUUUCUGAAUAUAUCCAUAAGCUCCAACUUGAGUAAAUUGUUCUUCAGGUGCUGGCUUUGUUCCAUUGAUGAAACCUUCUAAUCGAUUGCCUCUUAUGGAAGCUAAAACUUGAAAACGCCAAAGUAAAUAGUUAGAACGAUCUAGCUUAAUUGGAGUGUUGAAAGAAAAAUUUAUUUGACUUUGUUGAUUUGUUUGCAGAAAAAUUUAUUUGACUUUGUUGAUUUGUUUGCUGAGUACUAGAACUUGCCCUGUUUGGCUCUGAUACCAUGUUUGAAAGUUAAAUUAUAACUGUAAAAGUUAUUUGGAAGCUAAGAAAAUGAUAAGAAAACUUUAUGGGAAACUCCUGACUUUAUUCAAUCUCACGUUAUUACUUACAAAUACAAUCACAACAAUAUUUAUACUAACACUGAUAUCUCAACCAGGAUUACAACUUGGCUAACAACUAGAGAAUAGAACGUAAAACAUGAUUAACAGAUUUGCUGAGCUAGCUUCUUUUCUCAACUAACUGUUAACUCAUCAUUGACACACACGUGCUAAAUAUGCAGCUCCCUUUUGUACAUUGUGAGCUUCCUCAACAGUUCUUGUAUAGAGCUGGGUUACCAUCAGAAAUAAAGGAGGAAAUGAAUCGAUUACUAUAACUCCCAAGGCGAUAAUUGCUACCUAAAUCCCCACUAGCAUAUAACAAAUAAAGAGUUGCAAAUCUGAUAGUUAUUCCAAGUUCUAGUUAUCCUCUAUAAGUUGAGCUACCCAUUACUCUCACCCUGGACUAUAAUUUUUUUUAUUUUAAGUUUGUCCCAGUUUCCUUAAAGUGUAGUCUCGUCGCCUGCAUUUAACUUUCAUCUGGACCUGAAAUCUCAACCGUCAAGUUUAAUAGAGAACUUACACACACUCCAGAGGGCGUAAGUUAAUCUUCAUUCAGAUCGUGUAAAAAAGAGACCUUUUGCCUGUUAUGAUGUGUAAAAGUAGAGCCCCAAAUCUGUUAGUUUUGGCUGCCAUCUAAAGAAAUUCCUACUGCGAAUGGUUAAAAAUUUCAUUAACUGUAUAUAUACAACCGAAUAGCAGCAAUGAAAUUACUAAGUUGUUCUUGGACAAAUUGCAUCAAAUACUUUUAUUGAGUUAUUAUUCCAUGCAUGCAAAAGAAAAUUCUUUUAAAAUUACAUAUAAGUUGUAAUGUAAGGAAAUUACAUCCAUCCACGAUAGAAUCUUCUAGGAAUAAGAUUAUCUGCUACAAAAUAAUAACAAGAGGUCAUACACACUUCAACAAGGUAAAACCAUCUUCGCCGCCAGUAGGGGUUUAUGUACAAAACUCCAAUAAUUCCUAUUAUCACAAUUCCAUAAGAUACUGUAAAAGUGAUCAGGAAACUGUCCGUGUCAAUUAAACUAUCACCUUCAUUUUCGGUGGAAGCUUCUGGUGUCACUGUUGUCAAUCCAUUAUCAUUGCAACUUUUGGACAGUGGUUGUCCACAAAGAAAAGGAUUCCCUUCAUAGCUAUCUUCCUCGAAAGUUGAAAAUUGUGCUCUAUCUGGAAUUUUACCAGAUAAGUUAUUGUAUGCUACUUUGAAAACCUCCAAUGUAUUUAGCACAAUGAGUUGAGGAGGGAUUUUCCCAUGCAGUAGGUUGUAGGAGAGGUCCAAGCUUUCGAUUUGCUUCAGGUUUGAAAAUGUUGUCGGGAUUGUGCCCGUCAAAUUGUUAUGAGAUAGAUUUAGUGCAUGAAUCCUAGUAAGAUAUCCAAUUUGAGUAGGAAUCUCACCUGUCAGUUUGUUACAAGAAAGAUCAAUCCCAGACAUACUCGUCAAAAUUCUUCCUUGAUAAUAGUAGGACAUAUUCUUUGUUGUAAACUGUACAGUUUCUUCCUUUCCCAUCGGAGGUGAACUUUGACCAGGCAGACAUGCAGAUCUAUAGACAGACGCUCGACGACACCAAAUAGAAGUUGGAGCUACUUCCCCAUGAUAACCUUCAUUGAGUGAAGUGUUAACCAAGCAAGGAGGAAUACGCCCGGAUAGAUUAUUAUGAGAAAGAUCAAUCAACCGCACUUCCUUCAACUGGCAUAAUUGAACAGGUAUUUCGCCUUUAAUAUAAUUAUGAGCUAAAAGAAGGUAGUUUAACUGAGGUAGUCUGUCAAUCCGAUUUGGAAUACUUCCGUGUAAGCUGUUAUAACUAAGAUCUAAUGUCACUAAAUGAGGGUUGUCAUGGAUUAUACUUUCCAGCCGUCCUUCUAUCUUGUUUUUUGACAAAUGAACUUGUUCGAUAGAUGCUGGACUAAAACAAGAUGGUAAAGUUCCAAAAAUACUAUUGUUUGAAAGGUCUAAAAUCUUUAGAGAAUCACGCUGACAAAACUCGAUUGGAAUUGGUCCUUCAAGAUUGUUAUUGGGCAUUAUAAUAUAUUGUAAAGUUGGCAAAUUACCCAACCAUCUUGGAAUCUUACCAAAGAGAUGAUUAUCACUCAGAUAUAAUCCUCGUAACAUAUAGCACUUAGAUAAGCUUUCUGGGAUCUCUCCAAUGAAAUUAUUUCCAUCCAACUGCAACGUCAUCAAAUUUGUCAAGUUAAAUUUUUCAGAGAAUAUAUGACCUUGCAAACGGUUGUUUGAUAACGCAAGAAUUUCCAAUGAGAAGCAACCCGUGGCCAUGCGCUCAGGGAUUUCACCAGUCAACUGAUUGUUGGAUAUGUCCAACCUUUCCAACAUUUUCAUAUCAGCAAAUGAAGAGGGAAUGCUACCAUUGAAAGCAUUUCUAGAUAAGUUUAAUUCCAUUAAGCCUGGCAGAUAUGUUCCGAUUUCUACCGGGAUAUGGCCUUGAAAGAAAUUGUUGAAGACAUCCAAUGUUGCUAAUUUUUGGUGGGAAUGAAUUGGCAUCCGAAAUGAUCCAAAAAGAGAGUUAUUGGCAAGAAGAAGGGUCUCUAAGUUUGUAUUGUUUUCUAGUAACCAAUUUGGAAACUCUCCACUCAAGUUAAGGUGUGAAAGAUUAACACUAUUCAAGUCAUGCUGAUGGUACAAGAAUUCAGGAAAUGUGCCACCAUCUACGUAACCAGACAAUGAGAUAGAAGUCAAUUGGAAUUUUGGGGUCAAAGAAUCAUAAUGCGACUCAGUUUGUGCGUUUAUUUCACCAUUGAAAGUCUGGAGUUUUGAGAGAUUGAAAAGUGGUUCAAGUGAAAUAGGGAUUUGGAAGAAGUGGUUGUUUGAAAGUAUGAGCUCUUCGAUAGAUGUUAGAUGCAUGAGGGAAGAUGAGGAGAUGUUUUCAGUAAGUUGAUUGUACGAGACAUCUAAUACUCGAAGGGAAGUCAAAUUUGCCAAGCACAAAGGCAAGCUACCUCUUAAAUCAUUGUUAUCAAUGUAUAACUUUCUCAGAAGCACCAACUCACAAAGGCCUGGGGAGAUGUUUCCAGUAAGUUGAUUAGAAGAGGCAUAUAACACUUGGAGGGAUGUCAUGUUUGCCAAGCACCAAGGCAAACCAUCUCUCAAAUCGUUAUCACGAAUGUAUAACCCUUGCAGAUGCACCAACUGACAAAGUCCUGAAAAGUAUAUAAUUGGAUAUCUUUAAUCUUUAAAGUACAUAUUAAAAAUUAAGUUUGAGUACUGAUAAUUGAACAAUAGAAUUUGACGUAAUGGCAACAAAAUAACUGUAAAAUUAUACGGCAUUAUAGUGUUAAGUAAAAAAUUAGCAUUAUUUUUCAAUCAACACUACAACAGCACACUAUUUUACAGUUGUUUUGGUCAUUAUUAUGGCUCCUUAUCAUCUUUCAUUAAGUUUAUAAAUAGCUAGCAUUAUAGACAUUCUCAAUUAAAUUUAGUUAAGAUGCUAAAUGCGAGAGAUGGAGAAAGAGAAUCAUUAAUUAACCUUGAUCAAGAAUGGUGUGUUUAUUAAGACUUGAAUUUGUCAGUGAUAAAAAGUUAAGAGAAGGCAUCGAUUCGCCGACAAUUUGAAGAAAAUUGGUGUUGACGUCAACCUGCACCCAACCCAUGUCCAGAUAUUCCAAAUUCUUGAAUUUGAGAAAAUCUACAUGCAAUAAACAAGAAAUGGUUAUAAUUUUGAUAUUGAUCACAUAAUGCAAGGGAAUAAGGAUAAUCCGGUCCUUUUUUUGUGGUUAAUUUACUUAUUUUUCUUUACUCUUCUAAGCGAUCAAAAUAUUCUUAACAUAAUAGAACUAAAAUUUCAUUAACCUUAAUCAAGAAUCUUGCAAUUUAGAGAAGCUAGAACUAUUGGACAGUGAAAAUAUAUAAAAUUUAAAAGAAAAAAAAUCUUAUUUGACGGGAAAAAAUUAACCUGCUGUACGGCCAAGGCGGAUGUACGGUACAGCAGCUCUUUAUCAUUUUUCAUUAAGUUUAUNNNNNNNNNNNNNNNNNNNNNNNNNNNNNNNNNNNNNNNNNNNNNNNNNNNNNNNNNNNNNNNNNNNNNNNNNNNNNNNNNNNNNNNNNNNNNNNNNNNNNNNNNNNNNNNNNNNNNNNNNNNNNNNNNNNNNNNNNNNNNNNNNNNNNNNNNNNNNNNNNNNNNNNNNNNNNNNNNNNNNNNNNNNNNNNNNNNNNNNNNNNNNNNNNNNNNNNNNNNNNNNNNNNNNNNNNNNNNNNNNNNNNNNNNNNNNNNNNNNNNNNNNNNNNNNNNNNNNNNNNNNNNNNNNNNNNNNNNNNNNNNNNNNNNNNNNNNNNNNNNNNNNNNNNNNNNNNNNNNNNNNNNNNNNNNNNNNNNNNNNNNNNNNNNNNNNNNNNNNNNNNNNNNNNNNNNNNNNNNNNNNNNNNNNNNNNNNNNNNNNNNNNNNNNNNNNNNNNNNNNNNNNNNNNNNNNNNNNNNNNNNNNNNNNNNNNNNNNNNNNNNNNNNNNNNNNNNNNNNNNNNNNNNNNNNNNNNNNNNNNNNNNNNNNNNNNNNNNNNNNNNNNNNNNNNNNNNNNNNNNNNNNNNNNNNNNNNNNNNNNNNNNNNNNNNNNNNNNNNNNNNNNNNNNNNNNNNNNNNNNNNNNNNNNNNNNNNNNNNNNNNNNNNNNNNNNNNNNNNNNNNNNNNNNNNNNNNNNNNNNNNNNNNNNNNNNNNNNNNNNNNNNNNNNNNNNNNNNNNNNNNNNNNNNNNNNNNNNNNNNNNNNNNNNNNNNNNNNAGAACUAAAAUUUCAUUAACCUUAAUCAAGAAUCCUACAAUUUAGAGAAGGUAGAACUAUUGGACAGUGAAAAUAUAUAAAAUUUAAAAGAAAAAAAAUCUUAUUUGACGGGAAAAAAUUAACUUGACAAGAAAGAAUUAUUAUCGAAUUAAUAUCUUAAAAGCUUCAGAUACCCGUAAUUUACCUUGACCAUGCAGGGCACCCUUGAGUACACAAUCUUGCAUUGACAAAUGCUUUAACGAUGUGAAUGAUGCGAUGCUUUGCAGAAGUUGGCUUACGUGGAGAUCAGACUCGUCCAAUAUCAAUUCUUCCAAGUUGGUGAAAUUGUGCAAUUCUAUUUAGAAAGAAGUAGAAACAAUAAAUUUUAGCUAUAUAUAUUAAUUCAAUUAUUUUCGACAUAAAAGAUUUACUUACUUUGAUUAACUACUGUUCCCUUAAAUUUAGUAUGCGAAAGGUAAAGUGUUUUGAGGGACGGUAGUGAUCCUAUUGAUUGCAACACCUUGCUUCCAUCUAUCCUUGGAAUUCCGCUUCCCCCUAAAUAAAGGGUAUUCAACUUCCUCAAACCUCUGAAAUCUGUUUGGGAUACAAUUUUGGAUUAAAUUAUUUUAGGUAAGCAUCAUUGGGCAUUCCCUAAUCAAAUCUAUUAAAUUGUCCUCCAAAUUAUUAAUAUUUGAACAUUUUGUAUACCUUUAGGAACCACAAGAUUUUCGAUUGCAUUGCCUGUCAUGUCCAGCUCCUCCAAGUUACUCAAGGAAUUCAGUCCUGCAUUUAUGCCAACACUUAAAACAAGGUUAAUUAAAUAACUUAUUUUCUCCUUCUUUGUUUUAAAUCUUAGCACAAAAGAAUUUUAUUAAUAAGCAAAAAAGUACACGGUUAACUAGAAAAACCUAAAAAACUGUUGCCAAUGGCCUGAUUGAGUGGUUUUAAGUAGGUAUAUUUGGCUGAAACGAAUUUAAAUUUGUAAGGAAUAAAUAUGUAUUUCAACUUUACCUACUGCUAUACCUUAUUCUUGCUUCAAAAAAUAAAAAAUAAGACAAAUUAAGCACGAAAUUUUAAUUUGUUAAAUACUAAAUGGUGUUAAUUAAUUAAUUAAGUAAAUACAAGUUGGUUUAUGGAAGCCAAUAUCUGAUCCCUUCACACUAACUAAAAUACUAAAUUCAGUGCACAAAUUUAGAUAUAGGCAGAUAAAUAAGAUGCAUGUUAUUAUGGCUUACCUUGAACAUCAAAACUUUUUUUUUUUUAAUCCAAUCCCUCUUGGGAUAUAAACUCAUUAACGAAGAAAGAGCAUUAGAAAAAAUAAAAAGCUAUGAUGUCGAUUUCCAUUUAGUGUACAAUUCUUUACUUUUGAAGACAGGACAUACAAAAUAAUUAGAUUGAAUGUGUGUGUGAUUAUGAGAAGCAUUGAAAAUUGCAUAUAUUGAUAAUUUCUUAAUCCUAUUUUUAUAAUAUUCAAAGCCUUGUAGCCUAAACUAGUAAGAGUCUAGCUAGAUCUCGUAUCAAUACUUCCAGCUGGUCGAUGAAAUAAGAUCCACAAAGAUGGGACACGGGAGAAGGGAUAAAGCUUGCUUACCUUUAAUAUCAAUACUUCCAUUCAAUCUAUUAUCAGACAAUGAUAAGUGUCUGAGUGAUGAAAGACCACAUAGAAAUGAAAAGAUGCUGUUGUUGAAGUGGUUAAUGGCUAAAGAAAGAAACUUUAAGUUGUUCAACCUUGAUAACCUAUCUAGACCUGCCAAAAAAUAAAAAAAUAAUAAUUUUAUUGUAUCACGUACAAAUUAAACAAAAGCCAAAAUGGAUUAGAUAAAUGUAAGAAAUUACGAGGAAGAACUAAAAUAAAGUAAAUUAAGGACCUUCAUUUUCAACACAAUGGGCUAUAUUGUUCUCAAUUAGAUGAAGAGACUCUAAUUGUUGAAAGGGAGUAAACAGAGAAGCAUUCAUAUGCCACUCUGCUCAUUCCCGAUUCCUAGUGGCUCCUAGAUCUAAUUUAAUCACUCUGCCAGUGGUGUUGUUGCACUCAACCCCUUCCCACUGACAACAAUCUGAAUAAUUCUCAUCAUCUCCCGUGUCUACCCAGUUUUGAAGACAUUGAUCAUCAUUGAAGAAAUGUUUGAAUUGGAGGAGAGCAAACCUCUAGACUUUAAUGAUCACUUUGGAUGAGUCCUUGAAUAUUUACCAACGAAUUUCUUUAUUGAUUGCAACACCUUGCUUCCAUAUAUCACUGCAAUUUCCCUUCUCCCCCAAAUAAAAGGUAUUCAACUUCCUUAAACCUCUGUAAUCUAUUUGAGAUACAAUUUUGGAUUAAAUUAUUUUGGGUAAGUGUCAUUGGGCAUUCCCUAAUCAAAUCAAUUAAACUGUCCUCCAAAUUAUUAAUAUUUGAACAUUUUGUAUACCUUUAGGAACCACUAGAUUGUCGAUUGCAUUGUCGCUUAUGUCCAGCUCCUCCAAGUUACUCAAGGAUUCCAGUCCUGUAUUUAUUCCAACACUUAAAACAAAGUUAAUUAAAUAGCUUAUUUUCUCCUUUUCUUAUGCUAAAUCUCAACGAAAAGAAUUUUAUUAAUAAGAAAAGAAUAUGGCUAAUCCGAAAAAUUUAAAGCAGCUCUCAAAGGGCUCGACUGAGUGGCUUUAAGCAAGUAUAUUUAGCUGACAACCAUGAAUUUAAAUUUGUAAGGAAUUAAAAUUUAUUUUAGCUUUACCUACUGCUAUAUCUUUUUCUUUUUUCUUAAAAAAAUUAAAAUAUAUUAAACACGAUAUUUUAAUUUGUUAAAUACUAAAUUUAGUUAAUUAAUUAAUUAACUAAAUACAAGUUAGUCUAUGGAAGCCAAUAUCUGAUCCCUUCACAUUAACCAAAAUACUAAAUUCAGCGCACAAAUUUAGAUACAGGCAGACAAAUAACAUGCAUGUUAUUAUGGCCUACCUUGGACAUCAAAACUUUUUUUUUUUUUUAAUCCAAUCCCUCUUAGGAUAUAAACUCGUUAACGAAAAAAGAGCAUUAGAAAAAAUAAAAAGCUAUGAUGUCGAUUUCCAUUUAGUGUACAAUUCUUUACUUUUGAAGACAGGACAUACAAAAUAAUUAGAUUGAAUGUGUGUGUGAUUAUGAGAAGCAUUGAAAAUUGCAUAUAUUGAUAAUUUCUUAAACCUAUUUUUAUAAUAUUUAAAUCCUUGAAGCUUAAACUAGCAAGAGUUUAGCCAAAUCUUAUAUCAAUACUUCCAGCCGGUCAAUGAAAUAAGAUCCCCAAAAGAUGGGACACGGGAGAAGGGAUGAAGCUUACUUACCUUCAAUAUCAAUACUUCCAUUCAAUUCAUUAAUACCCAUGUGGUUAAUGGCUAAAGAAAGAAACUUUAAGUUGUUCAACCUUGAUAACCUAUCUAGACCUGCCAAAAAAUAAAAAAAUAAUAAUUUUAUUGUAUCACGUACAAAUUAAACAAAAGCCAAAAGGGAUUAGAUAAAUGUAAGAAAAUACGAAGGAGAAUUAAAAUAGAGUAAAUUAAGGACCUUCAUUUUGAACACAACCGGCUAUAUUGUUCCCCAUUAGAUCAAGAGACUUUAAUUGUUGAAAGGGAGUAAACAGAGAGGCAUUCAUAUACCACUCUGCUGAUUCCCAUUUUCGAAAUGCUAGAUCUAAUCUAAUCACUCUGCCAGUGGUGUUGUUGCACUCAACCCCUUCCCACUGACAACAAUCUGAAUAAUUCUCAUCAUCUCCGGUGUCAACCCAGUUUUGAAGACGGUGAUCAUCAUUGAAGAAAUGUUUGAGUUGGAGGAGAGCAGACCUCUCUUGCUCCAAACACCCCUCACUCCACCACCCUUUUACUACUAAUAAUAUGAAAAUUAACUCACUCACCCACACUCUUUUUGAACCACACAUUAUAUCUUCUUAAUUACAAUCACCUACACACACUCUUUUCUCUUCUGCAACAACGAGAGGAUAGUUCUACGCUAUUUAUAACCAAUUGCACUGAUGAUACUCCCAGCUUUUAAUUGACUUUGUCUAAGUCUUGCAUGCGUUUUUCUUCAUUUCUUUUUAUUUUUUCUGUUAAUAUAUAAUAUGAUUGUAAUAUAUUUUUAUUUAAUUCAGUCAACUGAAAAUAUUUCCUCUCCGUCCAUAAAUAUCUGCACAGCCUGGAUUCUGACGGAAUCUUGGGCAACGCGGGUACCCAAACUUCACUAGACAAGCUUAUGGGCUAGCUCAAAACUUGGAUUUUUAUGAAGAAUAUUAUAAAAUAUCUAUUAUUUUGUUCAUUUGGUCCACUUAUUAUCUAUUUUUAAAAUUUUAAACAUUUAAAACUCAUAUUUUUAAUUCCAAUUUCAUUAAAAUAAAAUUUGAAAAUAUAAAAUUAUAAAAUAAAUUAAAUAUAUAUAAUAUUAUAAAAUAUAAAUUCUAGGUUUUUUAAGUUUUGAUUAAAAAAGUCCGAGUGUUCAAAAAAACAUGCUUAGGCCAGAUCUGGGUAAUACCAUACCUAAGAACGGUCGGAGUUUUUUUCCAUCCCUACCAUCCUUACACACUAAUAAUUGGCUGAAUUUAAUCAAACUCUCGAUUUGCUUUCACAUUAUCUUGGGUUUGAAACUUCACAGGUACCUAUAUAUCCCUUGAAUGAGAGUAGAUUUUCACCUAAAUUUGAAUGCAAACAUGUGCGACACGUCCUGGUCUAGGGAGAAUGAAUAGGAUGUCUUCAUAGGGCCAUAACUUGAGUAAUUGGUAUUUGUCUUAGGCUCAUAAUAUAUCAUUAUGAAGUUCUCAAGGAAAAGUCACAUUUUCAAUGUGGAUUAGCAAAUCUUCGCCAAAUUUCUCUUGGACGCUUCUAUUUUUGUCUGAAGAUAUCUUUCUUAUUUUUUAGAUUCUUGUUGGAUUUUUAUCUAUUUUGGUCGAUAUUUGAUUUAAGCGUCAUUUUUUUAAUUUGUUUUGGCAAGUAAAAUUUUUAUUAUGACAUACCAAUUCAAAUUUAUUUAUUUUGAUAAAUUCAUGUAUUUUUAGGGUUUAGUAUAAAAGGCUGUUAAAAUCCUAGUUUUUAUUUGUACUCGUAAAACAUAUUUUUAGAUUAGGAGACCUGUGAUCACUACUCAAAUACUAAAAAACCCUAUAACUAAUUAAAUAAUAAGAAUACGGAAGUUAAAAAAAAAAGAUUUCUAAACCUGUCCUAGAUCACACGACCAGUGACUACAUAUGAUGUUAAGCCAAAAAAUUAAAAAUAAAUGCUAAUCAUACGGAACCUCUAGAUUUUACCGGUCACUUUGGAUGAGUUCUUGAAUAUUAAUCAACGAAUUUCUCUUCUCUAUUUAUUUAUUUCAAUAUAUUCCACACAUCACCCUGAUUACAAUUUUAUUUUAUUUUUAUUUUUUUCUUCCAAUUCAGUCAACAAGAAAAUAACGUGUAAUUUAACAAACCCUUUAUCAAGUCUCGGUCUUAUGAUGUUCCCUGUAAUAGCGAUUGUAUUUGUCAUAUCAACAUCAUUCGUUGUCACGAAGAAGAUGAAGAGUCUUCUUUCUUUCUUCGAAGUUCAUGAAAGGAAAUCAUAUUUUACACGUUAGUUGACUUUGAAUUGACCCCAAAUCGCGAAACAUUGGCCCUCAAUCCUCUCUCUUUCUCUCUAAUUAUUUAAUUCAGUCAACUGAAAAUAUUUCCACUCCGUCCAUAUGGGAUGUCAUAAACAUCUGCACAGCCUGGAUUCUGAUGAAACCUUGGGCAACGCGGGUACCCAGACUUCACUAGAUAAGCUUAUGGGCUAG
rnacentral:lncRNA from 1 species